rnacentral:lncRNA from 1 species
CAGGGAGUUUAAUGGGUAAGAUGAAUUACUGCUACUUCAUCAUUAGGCUUGAUUGACAUUACUCUUGCAGGGAGUUUAAGGGGUAAGAAGAAUUACCAGGACUGCAAGGGGGCUGAAUACAAAUAUAGCAGUGGUUCUCUGGAUAUAUGCGCCAGCGAUAAAGUUCAUUAGGGCAGCAAAGAAGGAGACUGCACCAACCAGGUAGGUGAUCACAGCUGAGGAGGUCACAGUAUCCAGAUGUAGUGUCCUGUGGAAAUAGGCUACAAGACUGAAGUUUGCGCUGCUGGGGCAACUCCGCAGCACGACCAAAACUGCAAAUGAACAUAGAAUUCAGUUCCAACAGAUUGUUUGACUCGGGAUCGAAAUGCAUGCAACUAUAUUAUCUCAGGAUCACGAAGAGAGAACCACAGCGUAUUUUUCAGGUUAGGCCAGGCCAUUCAAUUCUUACAACCCAUGAGAUUCACUCAGUUUUACCAGGCUGAGCUGUACAUUACCAACUGAAAGGUAUAUCAAGUUAGAUCAGCUGAGUCUGAAACAACUAGGCUAUCAAUUAAAAGAAAGGCAGAG